GAAAUGCCAGGAGCCUGAUGCUCCGCUCCGGCGGAUGCCACGGGCACACACAAGGGGUGGGGGGACGCAGAAUAGGAAGGAAGGAGGUCAGAGACCCCCUUUUCUCUCCCACUCCCCAAAGAAAAAAACCUUUCGAGCAUCGCUCCACCAGGAGACCUGUCACUCACUCAUCAGGGUUUCUGGCCAGCAACACCAGUGACUGUCAUGGCCAACCCAUUAAUUCGGAGAUGUCGUGCACGAGGGCUUUAACCGUGCACGAGCCAUGUGUGUGCAGGAGGAGGGAGGACAACCCUGACCACGCUGCAGGACGGAGCUGCGGGUUGGAAACAGGACAACCCUCAGCUCAAGGAUAACAUCGAAACUUCUUCCAAGCUACUUUGUCUUCCUGCCAGUACCUUUGCGAGCCGAUGGGAGAUGCAUGUAUCUUGUAUCUCACAAGACUGGCUUCUCACUCAAGGCAUGUGGGCACAAUACCAUAGUGCCAUAGAGUUAUGUAUAACACAAAAUUGGAUUAAUACAAAGGCAGCUUUAAAUUAAGUGCCAUUCAAAAUAUAUCAAUACAUUCCAUUUGAUUACUAGUCUGUUAGAAAUCCAAACUGAAGGUACAAAUCAAGGAAACAAUAACAAUCACAGUCCAGCACAAGAUAACAUCUCCCGAAACUGCUUCAUACAAGUUCCUGCUGGGUGGGUUGGCUACCUUGGGAUAGAGCUCCAUAGUUCAGUGUCAGUCACUGGUUUCCAUGGACUAAGCAAGAAACCAGCCACUGUAACCCAAGUUCAAGCACUAAGGGCAAGAUGAUCUGCCCUUACCCAGGUGGUUUUACCAAAAGCUCUGCAGAAUCACAAAUCUGGACCAGCUCUAGUUGAUCAGCUACAACUGUUUUUUUCAUGCCAACCCAACUAUAACCCUGUCCAUUACCUCAUGGCUUCACCUUUCUCCUCCAAUUUCUCCUCCCAUCACAACAGCAGCAAGAGCCCAGCUUGGCUCUGGUUCCUGAGGCCUUGGACCACAACAUGCAGCUUUGACUAGGCUGAUGAGAAAUCUUGAACUGCUUUUCAGUAAUCCCAACUCCACCAAGGCCAGUGUGUCAGGUCCUUGGUGACUGCACAUCCCACUGAAGCCAACAGAGCUGUGCUGGAACAACCUGACUCACUUGGCUUGAAACCUUUGAUUAUUGACUUCAAGGAGAAGAAACUCCAGGCCUCCAUGACUUUUUGCUGACCCUAGAAGAGUUUAAGCAACAAGCUGUUCUCUUGUCAUGUGCAGCUCCCACAGGAUCCGUCCAUCGCGCAGACCACAAACGUUUGCAAGCACAUUGUUAUGAUGGUGAGGAAUAGCUCCAAACUCCCAAGUCUCAGGCAAUUGAAAAGACAAAAGGAAAAGCCCUUGGACAGCUGCUGGCCUCCAGGAGACUCCAUGAAUGGAGACUUAUGGUGCUGCAUCCUAAUUACAUCCUCGGGGAACAGCAGAGAAGACAGAGCCCCAAACACACUGGUGGAAGCAAUGACAGCAACACCAUUUGACAGCACAUCUCAGCUACUAUUUUUUGUUCCAGAACCCACAAUUUCAGGCUUGUUUGUUUGUUUGUUUGUUUUUUCUCUAUUCCAAAUCAGUCUCUAUCUCUUGUGGUCAUGGGAAAGAAAUAACCCUUCAGCUGUAACUGAUUAAAGAGGUUGGUGCUUGAGUUUGCAAGUAGCCUGAAAGAAGACCUGAUAGAUUUGAAGACCCUGCUUGUCCCGGUGAACUGUCUGCCAUGACUUCCUGAAUAGACAUCACUUGACAGAGUCUUUGCCUUAACUAAUGGAAGACAACUGCAAAUAGAGAAAAAAAACAUUGGAUACUCAGAAUGACCUUUGAAGCUGUGACUACAUAAAAUAUCUGCCCUGGAUUGGAAACCCUGAGGCAAGAGCUCACAAGUCAUAGCAUCUGGGGCAUCUACGUACCAAGUACUUUCCAGAGGAAGCUCUUUUAUUUUUUUCAUUUGGGAAAGAAAUGACUUUUGCAAUGGAACUCAAAGAAUGUAUAUAUUUUACAUUGUGGGUUGGUUUGGAGUUUUGGGGCUUUUUUUAUGCCAUUGGGAGUAGCUGGGUUUUCCCCCAGAGUAUCCCUUUCUCAUAGUCUUGUCUAUUAUAGUUCAGCACCACCGCUGUUUUACUUGCUUUGUCUUGGCAGUCAGGGCUCCAUAGACAGUCCAGGCUCUUCCAUCGUCAACCUGCCUCUACCUGUAGCACGGUGCUGAACUCCAGACACACACUCAGGAAAGACAAUGGAGGAGCCAACAUGUAUUUGCACAUAUGGGCACAUCAAGUCAAACCAGAGGCAGCUUAGGACCACUACUAAGCUCAGAGUGUUUGCAGAGCUGAGCCUAGGAGGGGAAGAUGCAAUUGGGACUAUACAGCAUGGCCCCUUCCCCAGCUCAUUUAAAGAACAGGUGAGGAGCUGUGGAAAAUGCUCUGGAAACAAUGCAACUCAUCAUACGAUAUAAUUUGCCCCUAGAUAGCGUGUUAGCCAGUGUACGGUUUGCCAAAGGCAUUUAAAGAGCUUCUUUGGCCUUCAGCAAGAACAACCAAAGAAGAACACCUGCUUUAAAGAAUAGGAACAAUUCUGGAGAGCACAUGCAGAGGCUUCCAGAGGGGUUUUAAACUGGACUCGUCAAGCAACUUAAAUGGAAACACUAUUCCUAAAGUUAUAUUCUAAGAUUUGUGCGUAUUUAACCCAUAAACUCACAGCAAACAAACACUAAAAGCCCCAAAGGUAUGUAGAAAUAACAAAUCCUGUGUAGACGACUAUAGGCGUGCUGCGGGAAACCUUUUUGGAAAAAGGCUGUUUGACUCAUUAUCAGCCUUUCUGACAGCGCUUGGGUGCAUAUAGCACGGGGGGAGAAUAUAUUCAAUCUAGUUAAAUUCUGCUUAGCGAGGGUACUGAAGCCCAUGGAGCAAAAUCGAUGAAGCCAGGCUGAAUCUCACCCCAUUUAUUAGUGCUUGAAAGGUAUACAAAGAUUUUUAAUAAUAAGGAAGGCUAAACAGAGAUGUCUGUUUUUCAUAAUUGCACAGUGCUCCCAAGACAGCUGUUCAGCCAUCUUGAAAAUCAAUGUUUUGAUGCCCUUUGAACCUUCUUUUCCUGUUGAGCGUCUCUCCUACAGGUUGCUCCCCAGGAUGAAAACAAUAAAAGCAAAUAUAUAACAGUAAA